rnacentral:piRNA from 1 species
UGUGCUGAAGGUUUACGGACAGCUGACCU